rnacentral:rRNA from 1 species
UGGCUCAGGACGAACGCUGGCGGCGUGCCUAAUACAUGCAAGUCGAACGAACUCUGGUAUUGAUUGGUGCUUGCAUCAUGAUUUACAUUUGAGUGAGUGGCGAACUGGUGAGUAACACGUGGGAAACCUGCCCAGAAGCGGGGGAUAACACCUGGAAACAGAUGCUAAUACCGCAUAACAACUUGGACCGCAUGGUCCGAGCUUGAAAGAUGGCUUCGGCUAUCACUUUUGGAUGGUCCCGCGGCGUAUUAGCUAGAUGGUGGGGUAACGGCUCACCAUGGCAAUGAUACGUAGCCGACCUGAGAGGGUAAUCGGCCACAUUGGGACUGAGACACGGCCCAAACUCCUACGGGAGGCAGCAGUAGGGAAUCUUCCACAAUGGACGAAAGUCUGAUGGAGCAACGCCGCGUGAGUGAAGAAGGGUUUCGGCUCGUAAAACUCUGUUGUUAAAGAAGAACAUAUCUGAGAGUAACUGUUCAGGUAUUGACGGUAUUUAACCAGAAAGCCACGGCUAACUACGUGCCAGCAGCCGCGGUAAUACGUAGGUGGCAAGCGUUGUCCGGAUUUAUUGGGCGUAAAGCGAGCGCAGGCGGUUUUUUAAGUCUGAUGUGAAAGCCUUCGGCUCAACCGAAGAAGUGCAUCGGAAACUGGGAAACUUGAGUGCAGAAGAGGACAGUGGAACUCCAUGUGUAGCGGUGAAAUGCGUAGAUAUAUGGAAGAACACCAGUGGCGAAGGCGGCUGUCUGGUCUGUAACUGACGCUGAGGCUCGAAAGUAUGGGUAGCAAACAGGAUUAGAUAC